rnacentral:rRNA from 1 species
AUUGAACGCUGGCGGCAUGCCUUACACAUGCAAGUCGAGCGCGAAAGGGGGCAACCCCGAGUAGAGCGGCGGACGGGUGAGUAACACAUCGGAACGUGCCCAGUAGUGGGGGACAACCUCGAGAAAUCGAGGCUAAUACCGCAUACGACCCACGGGUGAAAGCGGGGGACCGCAAGGCCUCGCGCUAUUGGAGCGGCCGAUGUCCGAUUAGCUAGUUGGCGGGGUAAGAGCCCACCAAGGCGACGAUCGGUAGCUGGUCUGAGAGGACGACCAGCCACACUGGGACUGAGACACGGCCCAGACUCCUACGGGAGGCAGCAGUGGGGAAUUUUGGACAAUGGGGGCAACCCUGAUCCAGCCAUGCCGCGUGCGGGAAGAAGGCCU